CCUACGGGAGGCAGCAGUGGGGAAUUUUGGACAAUGGGCGAAAGCCUGAUCCAGCAAUGCCGCGUGCAGGAAGAAGGCCUUCGGGUUGUAAACUGCUUUUGUACGGAACGAAACGGUCUGCUUUAAUACAGUGGGCUAAUGACGGUACCGUAAGAAUAAGCACCGGCUAACUACGUGCCAGCAGCCGCGGUAAUACGUAGGGUGCGAGCGUUAAUCGGAAUUACUGGGCGUAAAGCGUGCGCAGGCGGUUAUAUAAGACAGUUGUGAAAUCCCCGGGCUCAACCUGGGAAUUGCAUCUGUGACUGUAUAGCUAGAGUACGGUAGAGGGGGAUGGAAUUCCGCGUGCAGCAGUGAAAUGCGUAGAUAUGCGGAGGAACACCGAUGGCGAAGGCAAUCCCCUGGACCUGUACUGACGCUCAUGCACGAAAGCGUGGGGAGCAAACAGGAUUAGAUACCCUGGUAGUCCACGCCCUAAACGAUGUCAACUGGUUGUUGGGUGCAUUAGUACUCAGUAACGAAGCUAACGCGUGAAGUUGACCGCCUGGGGAGUACGGCCGCAAGGUUGAAACUCGAAAUGAAAUUGAGG
rnacentral:rRNA from 1 species